UAGUAACUGCGAGUGAAGCGGGAAAAGCUCAAAUUUUGAAUCUGGCAGUCAUUUUGAUUGUCCGAGUUGUAAUCUAGAGAAGCGUCUUCCGCGCUGGACCGUGUACAAGUCUCCUGGAAGGGAGCGUCAUAGAGGGUGAGAAUCCCGUCUUUGACACGGACUACCAGGGCUUAUGUGUUGCGCUCUCGACGAGUCGAGUUGUUUGGGAAUGCAGCUCAAAAUGGGUGGUAAAUUCCAUCUAAAGCUAAAUACAGGCGAGAAACCGAUAGCGAACAAGUACCGUGAGGGAAAGAUGAAAAGAACUUUGGAAAGAGAGUUAAACAGUACGUGAAAUUGCUGAAAGGGAAACGCUUGAUGUCAGUCGCGUUGGUUGGGGAUCAACCUUGCUUUAACUUGUGGGGUGUACUUCCUAAUUAACGGGUCAGCAUCAGUUUUGAUCGGUACAGAAGAGCAAGAGAAAUGUGGCACUCUUAGGAGUGUGUUAUAGUCUCUUGUUGUAUGUAGUGAUUAGGACUGAGGAACUCUGCAUGGACUUGUAUUGUGCAUAGGAUGCUGGC
rnacentral:rRNA from 1 species